UCUUCAGUGAUGAUUUACACAGUGACUUUCGUUCUUCUGAGUAUCCUGAAGCCACUCUUUGUGUUCUGAGAAGA
rnacentral:snoRNA from 1 species